rnacentral:lncRNA from 1 species
GAGAUAUUGCCCCCAGGCUCAACACUGCACUUUAAACUUUUUUCUACCUUUCCUCUAACCCUGAAAGAAGUUAGCACAGUCCUGCACUUUAAGCUUUUCUUUUUUCUUACAUCAGGUCAGGAGUUAACUUUUUUUUUUUUCUUUUGAGAGGGAGUCUUGCUCUGUCGCCAGGCUGGAAUGCAGUGGCACAAUCUCGGCUCACUGUAACCUCCGCCUCCUGGGUUCAAAUGAUUCUCCUGCCUCAGCCUCCCGAGUAGCUGGGAUUACAGGUGCGUGCCACUACGCCUGGCUAGUUUUUCUAUUUUUAGUAGAGAUGGGGUUUCACUCAUUAGCCAGGCUGGUCUCAAUCUCCUGACCUCAUGAUCCCAAAGGUGGGAUUAUGACCUCAUGACCUGAUGAUUUCCGACCUCAGCCUCCCAAAGUGCUAGGAUUACAGGUGUGAGCCACCACGCCUGGCCAGGAGUUAACUUUUAAGAGAGAGGUUUUUUUUCUUUUUAGAAGAUGUUUUACUAGGCUAGAUAAUUGUCUUGUUUUGAUCCUCUUCAAAGCAUGGUUUAUAAUCAACUAUAGAACUUUGACAGAUGCUCUCAAAUGCAGAUUUCUGAUAAUUUUGGAGAUUGUAACACUAGAAUAAAGGAAAAAUGUACAGGACUCAACUCAUGAAGAGCUGAAAUGUUCACAAAUAUCAAGCAAAAUAAAAAUUAACUGAGUGGACUGAACUAAUAGAAAACUGAAUUAAUCUUUUUUACUUUUGCUUGGAAUAUUGCUGAUCCUUGUUUUGUUUUUCAGUAAGUCAAGGAAACUUAUUUUGGGCUAUUUACAGCCUUUAAUAAUUAAUAAAGCUAUACUCCUGUCUAAACAAAAUUUGGAGCAUGUUUGUUUCUCUCUGCCUGGUUCCUCUAGAAUGUG